CAUCUUGGAAUAUGGAAUAAGAUUACUGUCAAAAGUAUUCAUCCACAAUUCUAACCAUUCGUAUUCGUAAUGUUAAACAUUUGUAUGUUAAUAAAAAACUUGUACACAAAAUUCUGCUGUCAUAUGCAUGAGUUUGAUAAAUUAAGGGUUAGGAUUGUUUUUACGAGUAUGAACCUAAAAGUUGUGAGUGCAACUCUAAUUUCUACGACUAAGAAGUCCUCCCUGUGAGGACGAAUUCAAGUUUAUGGGUACGAGCAGAGCUCUAGAGAUAGUAAGAGUUGCGACACUCCCAUAGGGUGCCGUUGUACGCUUUCUUCCAGUCUACUUCCGGGUUGUGGAGGCUUGUUUAGUUCCAAGCACCGCUUCAACAGUGAUAGCCACCGUUCAUUUGCACUGCAGGUCGUUGAGUAUAUGUGGAGCAUCCCGAGAGCCCUCACUGAAGACACGAAGACCCUCAUUGUUUCUCCCAUUGUCAAUAAAACAUACUAUUUCAUUCAUCAAA